ensembl:snRNA U6 U6 spliceosomal RNA
UUCUGCACUCAGUUCAGCAGCACAUUACAAAAAUUGGCAAGGUACAGAGGCGAUUAGCAUGGCCCCUGUGCAAAGAUGAUACCCAAAAUUAAAUUCUGGUGUCUAGUCCA